rnacentral:lncRNA from 1 species
GCCCCUCUCUCUCUUCUCCAUGCCAAUCCAUAAGAAGGGGGUGGGCCCCUCUUGUCAUAUCCAAGGAGUUGGCGCCCCCUGAUCUUGCCAAAAAGAGAAGCAGGCAUCUCCUAUAUUUCCAUCUAUUCCACAUGCACUCUUAGAGAUAAUUAGGAGAUAAUGAAAAGAUAAUGUUAUGAUAAUUUAUACCAACUCAUUGACAUCAUCCAAUCCUCUUGAACUCACAAUUAAGAGCCUAAUUAAAGCCAAAUAGAUUUAGGUUAGAUUCAAAACUAUAGACUUGAUCAAAUCAAAAUUUCGAGAAGAACUAAAUUUAAUUAUGUGUUAGUAUGAUUCUCAUAAACCUAAUAGAAUUUCAAUAAAUCCUAACCUAAUUAAAAUUUCAUAAAUCCAAUUGGCAAAUUCGAGAUUAAAUCUCUUAAUGUGUGACCUCAUAAAUUUCAUUCUAUCUGAUAAUG